UUCAGAAUCAAUCAGUACCGUUCAAACUUAUUUUACCCUGAGAAUGCCCAAACUUUGAAGCAAAGCGGGUUCUGGCCAGAUUGUUACUUGGAUGAGAGACCAUCCAGGAAUACCAGGGGCUGGAA
rnacentral:rRNA from 1 species